ACUCCUACGGGAGGCAGCAGUAGGGAACUUUUUCGCAAUGGAGGAAACUCUGACGGAGCAAUACCGCGUGUGGGAAGAAGAUUUUCGGAUUGUAAACCACUGUUGUAAGGGAAGAACGUUAUUAGUAGGAAAUGGCUAAUAAGUGACGGUACCUUACCAGAAAGGGACGGCUAACUACGUGCCAGCAGCCGCGGUAAUACGUAGGUCCCGAGCGUUAUCCGGAAUUAUUGGGCGUAAAGGGCACGUAGGCGGACAAAUAAGUUUGAUGUCAAAUAUGAUGGCUCAACCAUCAAGAGGCGUUGAAAACUGUUUAUCUAGAAUCUCGGAGAGGUAAGUGGAAUUCCAUGUGUAGCGGUGGAAUGCGUAGAUAUAUGGAGGAACACC
rnacentral:rRNA from 1 species